rnacentral:rRNA from 1 species
GUUCCUACGGGGGGCAGCAGUGAGGAAUAUUGGUCAAUGGGCGGAAGCCUGAACCAGCCAAGUCGCGUGAGGGAAGAAGGCCCUGCGGGUCGCAGACCUCUUUGGACGGGGAGCAAGGCCGCCGACGUGUCGGCGGAAGGAGAGUACCCGUAGAACAAGCAUCGGCUAACUCCGUGCCAGCAGCCGCGGUAAUACGGAGGAUGCGAGCGUUAUCCGGAUUUAUUGGGUGUAAAGGGUGCGUAGACGGAAGAACAAGUUGGUUGUGAAAUCCCUCGGCUCAACUGAGGAACUGCAACCAAAACUAU